GGAGGGUUACUCAAGCGGUUAAGAGGCGUGAUUGGAAAUCACGUAGAGGGGGCGAAAGCUCCUACGUGGGUUCGAAUCCCACACCCUCCGCCA
rnacentral:tRNA from 2 species